rnacentral:rRNA from 1 species
AUUGAACGCUGGCGGCAGGCUUAACACAUGCAAGUCGAGCGGAGAUGAGGUGCUUGCACCUUAUCUUAGCGGCGGACGGGUGAGUAAUGCUUAGGAAUCUGCCUAUUAGUGGGGGACAACAUUCCGAAAGGAAUGCUAAUACCGCAUAAGUCCUACGGGAGAAAGCAGGGGACCUUCGGGCCUUGCGCUCAUCGAUGAGCCGAAGGCGGAUUAGCUAGUUGGUGGGGUAAAGGCCUACCAAGGCGACGAUCUGUAGCGGUUCUGAGAGGAUGAUCCGCCACACUGGGACUGAGACACGGCCCAGACUCCUACGGGAGGCAGCAGUGGGGAAUAUUGGACAAUGGGCGGAAGCCUGAUCCAGCCAUGCCGCGUGUGUGAAGAAGGCCUUUUGGUUGUAAAGCACUUUAAGCGAGGAGGAGGCUACUUAGAUUAAUACUCUAGGAUAGUGGACGUUACUCGCAGAAUAAGCACCGGCUAACUCUGUGCCAGCCGCCGCAGUAAGAC